UAGGGAAUCUUCCGCAAUGGACGAAAGUCUGACGGAGCAACGCCGCGUGAGUGAUGAAGGUAUUCGGAUCGUAAAACUCUGUUAUCAGGGAAGAACAAGUAUCGGAGUAACUGCCGGUACCUUGACGGUACCUGACCAGAAAGCCACGGCUAACUACGUGCCAGCAGCCGCGGUAAUACGUAGGUGGCAAGCGUUGUCCGGAAUUAUUGGGCGUAAAGCGCGCGCAGGCGGUUUCUUAAGUCUGAUGUGAAAGCCCACGGCUCAACCGUGGAAGGUCAUUGGAAACUGGGAGACUUGAGUGCAGAAGAGAAGAGCGGAAUUCCACGUGUAGCGGUGAAAUGCGUAUAGAUGUGGAGGAACACCAGUGGCGAAGGCGGCUCUUUGGUCUGUAACUGACGCUGAGGCGCGAAAGCGUGGGGAGCGAACAGGAUUAGAUACCCUGGUAGUCCACGCCGUAAACGAUGAGUGCUAAGUGUUAGAGGGUUUCCGCCCUUUAGUGCUGCAGUUAACGCAUUAAGCACUCCGCCUGGGGAGUACG
rnacentral:rRNA from 1 species